GGAGAAAGGAAACAAACAUAGUCUGGUGAUCGGUGCCAAGAAACAAACAAGCUCCACAAUAGAUUCAUCAGUGAUUGAGAGUGAUCUCCGGAGAUGCUGCUGCCUGAUUCAACCUUGUUUGUUUUGUUUAUUGUUUGCAGACUAUUUGGACCUCUCUACCUGAACUUUUAUAUCAUCUACACCACUAAAAGGGAGGCAUAGGCUGCUCCUGGAUAAGCUAAAAUACUCUCUCUCACUCUCUCUCUCUUUCUCUCUUCAACUUGAUCAGCUACCCAAUGUCAUACAUAUAAAUGUAUAUUCUUUGUUAAAGCCCAGGAAAAUGCCAAAGCUUGCUUCACUGGAGGAGGAAGCCAAGAGUGAUGUUCCUUCCAAAUAGUAGAGCUGCUUGAGGACAAGAAAGAAACCAGUCUGGAUGCAGUGAGGUGUUCUUAAACUUUGAGCUUGGCAAUGUUUAUUUGCUGGUGUUGUGGUUGGAACAUGUUGUAGGUUAUGGCACUGGUCUUAGUGGUGGAUGCUUCAUGGAAAGUGGAUCAAUUUGCAAGUUCAGGCUUGUGCCAAUCUGACACUACCCUGAAUACAUUUCAACUAUGUCAGUUUAAGCUCCUACAACAAGCAACAGAGAGGCCAUGGUGGUAGCUUCACUAUUGUUUGAUCCAAGCUCUACAGGGAACCAGCAAACAAAUGCCUGCUCCAGGACAAGACAGGAAAUAUCUAAGCUCUGUAUGCUUACAGAGAGGCCAUGGUGGUAGCUUCACUAUUCAUGCUAUGAAUACAAACACAAAAAAUAGGAUUUCUGCAAGUUGCCUUACAGCCACCAUCUUCUGGGAUCCAGCAAGAAGAACGAAAGCAAUGAUCCUUCCUCAAUAAUUUGAACAGAAGAAAACAAAACAAAGUCAACUGUUGGCAAUCAAUCCACUCUCAGUCUGAAGUACUUGCACUCUAUUCCAGAAUUAAUUGAAGAGUGGGUGAGUCCAAAAGUGAUGCAAUCUAUGUAUGUUCAGACUUAAAUCUCUUCAGCACACAGGUGGCCAUAAGCUCAGACCCAAUUGUUAAGUCCAGAACUAAUCAUAGACCCUCUGAAAUUGAGGAGUCCUCAUUCACACAUUUGUCUCUAAACUUACUAGUCUAUGAUCUUGACUUUGAUGCUUUCAGCAUUUAUAUUAGGCCAGGAGAUGCCACCUGAAACUUGCAAUACAACUCUGCCUCAGCAUAGGUUUAAUAUCUCAAUCUGCUCCACAUUCUACUGAACAGCAUACUUUUUCUCUUAGGAUGUGAUAAUGGAAACAAGUAAUUAAUGACUUCUGCUCUCAAGAACAAAAUACUUCACAUUGAUACUAAUUUAUGUGAGCCAGCACUGGGAAGAAUUCUUGAUGCAUUGUUCUUGACGUUGCAAAUGGGGAUCAUUGUUGCAGCAGAUGCAUUGUUUCUUGGGCCUUGUAAACUUGGCCCUUCACUUCAGCCACUGAGAUGUCAAGGAAUCCAUAUUUAUAAUAUCACUUAAGAGUUUGUGUCA